rnacentral:rRNA from 2 species
CCUCCUUAGAGUUUGAUCCUGGCUCAGGAUGAACGCUGGCGGCGUGCCUAACACAUGCAAGUCGAGCGGGUUAAUCUGACGGAAGCCUUCGGGUGGAAGAAAGUGAAACUAGCGGCGGACGGGUGAGUAACGNCGUGGGCAACCUACCUUNGUACAGGGGGACAACAACGGGAAACCGUUGCUAAUACCCCAUAAAACCCUAGAGGGGCAUCCCUUAAGGGUCAAAGAAUUUCGGUACAAGAUGGGCCCGCGUCUGAUUAGCUAGUUGGUGAGGUAAUGGCUCACCAAGGCGACGAUCAGUAGCCGACCUGAGAGGGUGAUCGGCCACACUGGAACUGAGACACGGUCCAGACUCCUACGGGAGGCAGCAGUGGGGAAUAUUGCACAAUGGGCGAAAGCCUGAUGCAGCAACGCCGCGUGAGCGAUGAAGGCCUUCGGGUCGUAAAGCUCUGUCCUAGGGGAAGAAUAUUGACGGUACCCUAGGAGGAAGCCCCGGCUAACUACGUGCCAGCAGCCGCGGUAAUACGUAGGGGGCAAGCGUUAUCCGGAAUCACUGGGCGUAAAGGGUGCGUAGGCGGUCUUGCAAGUCAGAGGUGAAAGGCUACGGCUCAACCGUAGUAAGCCUUUGAAACUGCUAAGACUUGAGUAUGGGAGAGGAAAGUGGAAUUCCUAGNNUAGCGGUGAAAUGCGUAGAUAUUAGGAGGAACACCAGUGGCGAAGGCGACUUUCUGGACCCAUUACUGACCGCUGAGGCACGAAAAGCGUGGGGGAGCAAACAGGAUUAGAUACCCUGGUAGUCCACGCCGUAAACAAUGAGUGCUAGGAUGUUGGGGGUCGAACCUCAGUGCCGCAGCUAACGCAUUAAGCACUCCGCCUGGGGAGUACGCUCACAAGCAGUGAAACUCAAAGGAAUUGACUGGGGACCCGCACAAGCAGCUGGAGCAUGUGGUUUAAUUCGAAGCAACGCGAAGAACCUUACCUGGACGUUGACAUCCCUCGGACCACUCCUUAACCGGAGUCUUCCCUUCGGGGACUGAGGUGACAGGUGGUGCAUGGUUGUCGUCAGCUCGUGUCGUGAGAUGUUGGGUUAAGUCCCGCAACGAGCGCAACCCUUGUCUUUAGUUGCCAGCAGUUCGGCUGGGCACUCUAGAGAGACUGCCGGGGAUAACUCGGAGGAAGGUGGGGAUGACGUCAAAUCAUCAUGCCCCUUAUGUUCAGGGCUACACACGUGCUACAAUGGCCGAUACAACGGGCAGCGAAGGAGUAAUCCGGAGCAAAUCCUAUAAAGUCGGUCCCAGUUCGGAUUGUGGGCUGAAACUCGCCCACAUGAAGCUGGAGUUGCUAGUAAUCGCGAAUCAGAAUGUCUGCGGUGAAUGCGUUCCCGGGUCUUGUACACUACCAGCC